rnacentral:sRNA from 1 species
AUUUCGCGUUAGGGAUUAAGGCGGCAUCCUUUUUGUUGUCUCCCUGAGCGCAGUCGAAGGGUUUAGACAAUCAAAAUGAUAUAGCCGAAAGCCCGACCGAGC